rnacentral:lncRNA from 1 species
CACGUUUGGUACAGACCAGUGUGGAGGGCCACACAAUAGGCAGGAGCCUCAUCGGCAUCCUUGGCCACCCAAGAGUACAGGAAGCCCAGGAGAGAAGAAAAGCAAGUAUUGCUGUUGGAUUUUGCACGUUUUUAAGUCACAGUGGAUUUAAGUUGGAGUUGGACUAUGAGAUAUGCUGACUGAGAGAGAUAGAGAAAUCACCACAGCUUGUG